UACGGAGGGUGCAAGCGUUGUCCGGAAUCACUGGGCGUAAAGGGCGCGUAGGCGGCUCAUGAAGGCUGUGGUGAAAGUCCGGGGCUCAACCUCGGAUCGGCCGUGGCGACUCGUGGGCUGGAGCACUGUAGAGGCGGGUGGAAUUCCGGGUGUAGCGGUGGAAUGCGUAGAGAUCCGGAAGAACACCAGUGGCGAAGGCGGCCCGCGUGGGCAGUGGCUGACGCUGAGGCGCGACAGCGUGGGGA
rnacentral:rRNA from 1 species